rnacentral:rRNA from 1 species
UACAGAGGUCUCAAGCGUUUGUUCGGAUUCAUUGGGCGUAAAGGGUGCGUAGGUGGCGCGCUAAGUCAGGUGUGAAAUCUCGGGGCUUAACUCCGAAACUGCAUUUGAUACUGGCGUGCUUGAGGACUGGAGAGGAGACUGGAAUUCAUGGUGUAGCAGUGAAAUGCGUAGAGAUCAUGAGGAAGACCAGUGGCGAAGGCGGGUCUCUGGACAGUUCCUGACACUGAGGCACGAAGGUCAGGGGGAGCAAACGGGG